UACAGAGGGGGCAAGCGUUGUUCGGAAUUACUGGCGUAAAGCGCGCGUAGGUGGUCUUGUUAGUCCUGUCGUGAAAGGUUGUGGCCCAACUGCAACAGUGCGGAGGAUACUGCAAGACUUGAGGGCAGCAGAGGUCGGUGGAAUUCCCGGAUGGAGUGGUGAAAUGCGUAGAUAUCGGGAGGAACACCAGAGGCGAAGGCGGCCGACUGGGCUGACCUGACGCUGAGGCGCGAAAGCGUGGGGAGCGAACCGG
rnacentral:rRNA from 1 species